rnacentral:lncRNA from 1 species
GUGUGGUGGUUGUGCGCUGAUGCUCUAGUCCUAGCUUACCUGUAAUCGAAGACGAGAGUGGGCAGGUGCAUGUGUUAAAUUUAAUACGUUGUUUGCUGGUAGAAACUUAUCGAGGCACAAGCCGGUUUAAUUCAUCCAAUUUUCGUGAGGUGAAGCCUGGCGUGUCGCUAGGUGCUCGCAACAGCCAGGGUCGCACGGCUCUCAUGGUUGCUGCUGUACACGGCAACCAAGACGCUCUCGCUCUUCUCAUCGCCGCCUUCAGGAACCUUCAGCACCACCAGCAGUUCGGUGAGGUUGACAGCAGCGGCUGCAGCGCCAGGCAGCUCGCUGAGCACCACGGUCAUCAGGCUUGUGCCGCGCUCUUGGCUUUGCAAGAGGAACACAGCAGACCGAGAGCGAACGGCUUCAAGCAUCCUCCUCCUGCUCCCUUUUGUCUUGAGCGACCUCCCACCCCGCCUCUUGAUGAUACUUCCAGAAGUGACUAAAACUUCAAAUCUCAUCAUGCAACAUCUUGACCAAGCAAACACGCUCUCCGAGCAAGAGUUACAUCAUUGAUUCCUAACUCGGAUUAGACGGCUGGUCGAUCGAGCGGUUGUUACUACUUUGCCGAGCGCAAAUUCUUUUUGUACUGCUCGGGAUGCCAAUUCACAGUUUUUUUACAGGUUCAUGUUCAAAAUUGUAUUCACUCUGAUCGUUUUGUUCCAUUUCAAUCUUGAAAUAUGAUAGAUUGUAACUUCUCGACAGAACCGCAAGAUAUUUCUAUCGUGCCGUCGCCACCAAACCUCACACAAAUAGGGUAUCAAACGGAUUUCUCACGCAGUAUUUCUCUGAAACGUGAUUAUUCAAAAUAACAUUCUUCCUCUCCCACGACACCAACUUUCUUGAAACUCCAGUCUUGUAUCGCUCCAACUCCAAUUGCCGUUUAAUGAAGCUUAGAAAGAUCUAAGCAUCAGCUGAACUGUUAUCCUCACCCACACGUGGCUAUUGACUUAUGCCGGUCUUGAUUACUACUCGGAUAAACUUCAGACUAACUAACAAAUUUAUCAAACAAAAUGCAGAAGUUCAUUGCAGGGGGAAGCCAUUCUAUGGAACAGCCAUUCCCAGAGAGCAGAAAACUACGCAAGCAAGGCAUCGUUACGAGCAUCUCCACAGACUGUCUUGCCGCUGGACCAUACAACGCGACGGCAUGCGACUCGAUGCCUAAAAUUUCAGUGGCAUCUCGGUCACUCAACAGGAGCAUUCACCAGCUACUAAGAGAUGACAUAGAAGGUCGCCCAGGCCAUAGACCUCCUACUCCAGCUCGACAAUCUCUGCCGAACUUGAUGCCUGUAGGUCAUAAAUCUAGUCACUCGUAUUCAUCUAACAGCCAAGCCAUUAACAACUUCAAUAAUGAAAACUCGGCGUCAUUGAAAACCACCGCUGAUGCGAGCAGAGGCGCGUACGCUGACAUGCGUCGACUUACCGUCAGUGGAGCGCCGAGGUCCGCGUCUCCUGACUUCAUAAAACGCCGGUCUUUGGAGGCCAUCGAUAUCGACCUCGGUGCUUCUACGCGAUCCGAAGGUUGGAAUGCCGUUAGCAACCAUGCAAGCGGCGUCGUUCACUUACCGCCUAUCAGCAAGGGAAAAUUUGAACAGGGAAGUCGAGAAAGUAAGUUGAUUUUAGCCAAAAAGACUCUUGAAAAACUCGACAAUAUUUUGUCUUCCGAAGAAUCUUUGGGUCCUUUCAAUUCCCGAUCCUCGGUACACAUGCGUGAUGCGCCUGAACAAUGUUCCAUCAGAACUUGCCGUCGAAAACCUUUAGAGGAUUCCUUAUGAGACUCAAGUUAAUAAUAUUACUUACUAUAAAUAUAUUAUUGCCGUAAUUUUAUAUUGUGCAAAAUAUUCUUCGAUAAUGGAUAACUUUAAUUGUUUUGUGAAUCAAAUUCCUUCAGCUGUUCUUCAACGAUGAAUGAUGUUGCCAUCCAAAUAAAUCACAACAUUAAAUGCCGAUCUAUUUGUCCAACACGCAUUGCUGGAAUUAAAUUAUUUUAGUAAGC